ACCACCAAGAAGACCCUCUGCCUGGUUCCCUGUAACCUCACUUCUUGCAGGGAGGCAUAGCUGUCAACGUUUCCCUUUUUUAAGGAAAAUUCCCUUAUUCCGAAUAGGAUUCCUCACAAUAAAAGGGAAAAGUUGACAGCUAUGCAGGGAGGGAACCGCCAGAAGGCCCUCGGAGCUGGACCUCAGUGUCCGGGCAGAACGAUGGGGGUGGAGACGCUCCUUCAGGUCUACUGGCCAGUAUAAACCUGAAAAGUAUUAUUAUUAUUAUUAUUAUUAUUAUUAUUAUUAUUAUUAUUAUUAUAACAGAAAUGGACGGUAGCUUUGUGCCUUUUCCUGCGAAGCAACAGGCCGGCGUCCAACAGGUGCAGCCUCCCCGCAGGACACGGGAUUGCAAGGCGAGAGAGAAGCCUGCCUCUUGGGCAGCUGAGAAAUGCUUAGGAGUCUCUUUGUUUGGCAACCGCAAGGCAGCAACCAACUCCCUUGCGGGGCGGGAACAGGAUCCGCCUUCGCCUCCAUCCAGAGUCAUGCCCAUCCGUCUGGCACCUUUUAAAAGGCGACCGUCCCAGCUUCUCCAUGGGGAAAAGAGGGGGAACCUUCUCACGGCUCAGGAGACCUCUGAAGCUGGCCGUUGCCGCAGAGGACGAGGCUCCUUCCCACAGCAUCCUCUCUCACCUGUCGCAGGAAUCCAACCCUGAGAGAUGUCGCUGCCUCUGGAAAACCCUCCGGAUGGGGGCUGGGGUUGGUUGAUCGUCCUCUCGGGAUUUCUGGCCAACUCCCUCACUUACGGGGUUUUGAGAUCUCUGGGUAUCCUCUUUGAAGAACUGGUGGAGGCUUUCGACGCCAGCGCUGCCCAGGUCUCCUGGGUGACGGCCAUCGCCUUGGCAACCCAGCAGCUGGCUAGUAAGUUUUCCAGAUGGGGCCACCACCCAGAAGGCCACGCCUGUUGACGCCUUUGCUCCGGAUCCCAGUUUUUGUGUCGGCGAUGUCGCGGCCGCUUGCAGAAUAAUAUACUUUUCAAGCAACAAACCUUUUAACCAUAUUGGAAGACAACUCAAAAUACUGAAAAACUGUGCAGGGUUCAAAUAGGCGAAAUGGCAAAUAAUUAAGCCGUUAAAAGUCUGUCCAGACAAAAAGGGCAGCCGUUUCUCUUCAUUUUUGAGUGAAUCAGCUGGUCUGCCUCCGGAGCGAAGGCAACACAUUUAUCUGAGAUUCCUGCAUUGCAAGGGGGGGGGGGCUAGAUGACUCUUGGGGUCCCAACUCUAGGAUGCUAUGAGAGCUUAUUUCUAAUGGACAAAAUCUCCCAGCGCUCCUCAUUACUUGUUAAUCUCACAUCCCUACACUGUCAUGUUUUAAUUAUAUUCUAAAUAUAAUGAAAUUAAAGGGGGCGGAGGUUGAGAGCAAAUCUGGGAAGGGUUUGGCAGGGUUUGAUUUGCAUGCAGAA
rnacentral:lncRNA from 1 species